AGGGAUUGGUUGGCCGGGAAUGAUUUUGAAUGGCAUUAUGACCUUGAUUUGAAUGGAUUGUAGAUGAAAAGCUCCAUGAUGCAAGCAUGUUUUGGAAGCAGGAACUGAGAGCCACGAAGCAAAAAAAAACACCAUGGAACCCACUCAAAGAAAACACCAAACACCCACCGUGUGCGCAGAAAGAGAACAAAUCACCCAAACGGCAAAAAAUGAGCAUAAAGCACAGAAUAUAAAGCAUCAACCCCACAAGACAGCCAUGGAACAAAGAAAACCAUGGAAGCUGUUCAAGGAAAAAUAUCAACCCUCUCCAGGUGCAAAACUAAACAAAUUGCACAAACCACAAGAAAGAAUGGGC